ACGACCUUACUUGAACAGGAUCUGUUCUAUAGGCUCGUACCUCUGUAUCCUUGAGUUCCAAGGAGACAGGAAACUAAGCUUGGUUGAAGAGCUAUGGCCAAGAGACUAGAGCGUGAUUAAUAGCUUCAGACCUUCAUAGGGCUGAGCCGUAGAGGAUCGUUCUCAGCCAUGGUUUCAUGGUUGGGAUGGUCUCUUGGCUGUCUGAUAGGCU
rnacentral:snoRNA from 1 species